rnacentral:rRNA from 1 species
AUUGAACGCUGGCGGCAUGCCUAACACAUGCAAGUCGAACGGUAACAGGCCCUUCGGGGCGCUGACGAGUGGCGGACGGGUGAGUAAUGCUUAGGAAUCUGCCUAGUAGUGGGGGAUAACCCGGGGAAACUCGGGCUAAUACCGCAUACGCCCUACCGGGAGGAAAGACGGGGGACCGUUCGGGCCGUCGCGCUAUUAGAUGAGCCUAAGUCCGACUUAGCUAGUUGGUAGGGUAACGGCCUACCAAGGCGACGACGGUAGCUGGUCUGAGAGGACGACCA